GACGAACCGUGCGAACGUUGUUCGGAAUCACUGGGCUUAAAGGGCGCGUAGGCGGACGACCAAGUCGGGGGUGAAAUCUUUCGGCUCAACCGGAAAAUAGCCUUCGAUACUGGCCGUCUGGAGGGAGGUAGGGGCGUGUGGAACUUCCGGUGGAGCGGUGAAAUGCGUUGAUAUCGGAAGGAACUCCGGUGGCGAAAGCGACACGCUGGAUCUCAUCUGACGCUGAGGCGCGAAAGCCAGGGGAGCGAACGGG
rnacentral:rRNA from 1 species